UNGGAAUGCCUAGUAAGUUAGUGAUUGUG
rnacentral:piRNA from 1 species